AGAGUUUGAUCCUGGCUCAGAACGAACGCUGGCGGCGUGCUUAACACAUGCAAGUCGAGCGCGAAAGUUACUCUUCGGAGUGGCGAGUAGAGCGGCAGACGGGUGAGUAACACGUGAAUAAUCUACCCCUUGGCGGGGUAACCAUUCGAAAGGAUGGCUAAUACCGCAUAAGACCAUGUGCCUGCGGGUGUAUGGUGAAAGGCUUUCGGGCCACCGAGGGAGGAGUUCGCGGACGAUUAGCUAGUUGGUGGGGUAAAGGCUCACCAAGGCAACGAUCGUUAGCUGGUCUUAGAGGAUGAGCAGCCACACUGGUACUUAGAUACGGACCAGACUCCUACGGGAGGCAGCAGUGGGGAAUAUUGCGCAAUGGACGAAAGUCUGACGCAGCAACGCCGCGUGGGUGAAGAAUUAGGGUCGUAAAGCUCUGUCAGGUGGGAAGAACCUUGCCUUUAUGGCAACUGACGGUACCACCAAAGGAAGCACCGGCUAACUCCGUGCCAGCAGCCGCGGUAAUACGGAGGGUGCAAGCGUUGUUCGGAAUUACUGGGCGUAAAGGGCGCGUAGGGGCGGCCUGUCAAGUCUGAUGUGAAAGUCCGGGGCUCAACCCCGGAAGUGCAUUGGAAACUGGCAGGCUUGAGUUCGGGAGGGGAGGGCAGAAUUCCCGGUGUAGGGGUGAAAUCCGUAGAUAUCGGGAGGAAAAUCAGUGGCGAAGGCGGCCCUCUGGAACGAAACUGACGCUGAGGCGCGAAAGCGUGGGGAGCAAACAGGAUUAGAGACCCUGGUAGUCCACGCCGUAAACGAUGGAUGCUAGGUGUAGGGAUCAAUCAUGAUCUCUGUGCCGAAGCUAACGCGAUAAGCAUCCCGCCUGGGGAGUACGGUCGCAAGACUAAAACUCAAAGGAAUUGACGGGGGCCUGCACAAGCGGUGGAGUAUGUGGUUUAAUUCGACACAACGCGCAGAACCUUACCUGGGUUUGACAUCGUGUGACGUUUAUAGAGAUAUAAAUUCCUCUUCGGAGGCACACAGACAGGUGCUGCAUGGCUGUCGUCAGCUCGUGUCGUGGAGAUGUUGGGUUAAGUCCCGCAACGAGCGCAACCCCUGUCCUAUGUUGCCAUCACGUAAUGGUGGGCACUCUUAGGAGACUGCCGGUGUCAAACCGGAGGAAGGUGGGGAUGACGUCAAGUCCUCAUGGCCCUUAUGCCCAGGGCUACACACGUACUACAAUGGCCGGUACAAAGAGGCGCUAACCCGCGAGGGCACGCAAAUCUCAAAAAGCCGGUCUCAGUUCGGAUUGGAGUCUGCAACUCGACUCCAUGAAGGCGGAAUCGCUAGUAAUCGCGGAUCAGCAUGCCGCGGUGAAUCCGUUCCCGGGCCUUGUACACACCGCCCGUCACACCAUGAGAGUCGCUUGUACCAGAAGUGCGUAGGCCAACCCUUUGGGGAGGCAGCGUACCAAGGUAUGGGUGGUAAUUGGGGUGAAGUCGUAACAAGGUAACC
rnacentral:rRNA from 1 species